rnacentral:tRNA from 1 species
UGCAGAGUAGAGAAGCCUGGUAUCUCGCAAGCCUCAUACGCUUGAAAUCGCUGGUUCAAAUCCGGCCUCUGUUU